rnacentral:misc_RNA from 1 species
UACGGAGGGUGCAAGCGUUGUCCGGAUUUAUUGGGUUUAAAGGGUGCGUAGGCGGCCCGGUAAGUCAGUGGUGAAAGCCCAUCGCUCAACGAUGGAACUGCCAUUGAUACUGCCGGGCUUGAGUACAGACGAGGUAGGCGGAAUUGAUAGUGUAGCGGUGAAAUGCAUAGAUACUAUCAAGAACACCGAUUGCGUAGGCAGCUUACUAGGCUGUAACUGACGCUGAGGCACGAAAGCGUGGGGAGCGAACAGG